rnacentral:rRNA from 1 species
AGCGAACGCUGGCGGCAGGCCUAACACAUGCAAGUCGAACGAACCUUUCGGGGUUUUUGGCGUAUGGGGGUGGAACACGUCGGAACGUGCCCUUAGGUUCGGAAUAACUCAGGGAAACUUGUGCUAAUACCGAAUGUGCCCUUCGGGGGGAUGAUAUAUUGCCUUUAGAGGGGCACGCGUCUGAUUAGCUAGUUGGUUGAGGUAAAGGCUCACCAAGGCGACAAUCAGUAGCUGGUCAGGGAGGGAGAUCAGCGACACAGGGAGUGAGACACGGCACAGACUCCUACGGGAGGGGGGAGUGGGGAAUCGAGCGCAAUCGCGUAAGGGCUGAAGCUGCCAUGCUGGGUGAAUGAUGAAGGUCUGGGGAAUGUAAAAUUCUUUCACCGGGGACGAUAAUGACGGUACCCGGAGAAAAAGCCCCGGCUAACUUCGUG